rnacentral:lncRNA from 1 species
GGAAUGCCAGGACCAAUCAGGGACGGGGGCGGGGCCCGCGCGGGGGGCUUGGGGAACGAUGCGCGGGGGCGGGCCCGGGGCGGGGAAGAGGCGGGGACCCGAUAGGUCAAAGCGGGCGAGACGGCGUGUGGGGCGGGGCCAACGCGCGGGGAGGCGGGGCGGGGCUGGAAGUGAGUGGGGGAGGUACAGCGCCAGAAGGUUCUGUGGAGGGUUGGGGAGAUGCCGGGAGGCGGGCGGAGGCGGAGGAGGGAGAGGGGAGUUGGGGCGCUGGGGCAACGGCUGGCGGGAAGCCGACAAAUGGAGCGGGAGACUCAGGCUGUCCGAGCUCCAGGAGAUGAACUUGGGAUGCUCUGUUUCUCUGAGUCUUCAUAUUCUCAUCUUAUCCAGAAAGUCUCCUCUGACCUCCCCCGCCAUCAGGUAUAUUUCUUCCUUCUGAGCUCCUAUAAUCCCCCUGUCUUCUCUUUCUCAUAGCACCUGUGUCACUGUAUAUGUCUGGUUAGUGAUCUGUCUCCUCACUCACCCACAGGCACACACUGAGAAUUCCACACUUACAGUAAACCCCAGGCCCCACCUCCUAACACACUGCUUGACACAAAAUAGACUGUAAAUGUGUAUUGAAUGAUGGGCUAUUGAAAAUGUCUAUCUAGGCCAUAUUUUUCCAUGUUUGAUAAUAAGCUAUGAGUAAAUUGCUACGUUUUUAUGAAGUUUCAGAAGGAAUUAACAUCAAUGUUUUUGUGCUUUGAACUAUUUCUUUUUCAGCUAGUGGUAGUUUAAGGAGAGGGAAGUUAACUGUUGCCAGUUUCCUGUGUUAAAACAAACUAGGGGCACCUGGGUGGCUCAGUCAUUUGAGCGUCUGACUCUUGACUCUUGAUUUCAGCUCAGAUUAUGAUUACAGGGUUGCUGGAUCAAGCCCCACAUGGGUGCUCUGAGCUAAGCAUGGAGCCUGCUUAAGAUUCUCCGCCCCCCCUUGCUCCUCUCCCCUCCUCAUUCUCUCUCUCUCUCUAAAAUAAAUCAAAAUAAACAGAACUAGAAAAAGUGGGA